rnacentral:lncRNA from 1 species
CCGCAGCAACUCUUUACUAAUAGAGUGGUUGUGUGUUCCCGAUGCAACUGAACCACUGUGAUCAGUCGAGAACAAUCAACGCCGGUAGCAAGCCUGCACAUCUACAAUGGUGGAAGACCUUGGACUUUAUAUUUUGUGGAGAGAUUUGGAUUCAGAUCUCAACUAAUCAGUCAUCACAUGACUAAUGUAAUUGGUAUGGACUAAAUCAAACCACCAAGGAACCAUAUUUGAGACUCAAUCUACCAAAUUGGUCAAGUAAGUAGAGAUUGGUGGGGGUCCCCCCG